rnacentral:rRNA from 1 species
GAUGAACGCUGGCGGUAUGCUUAACACAUGCAAGUCGAACGGACUCUUCGGAGUUAGUGGCGGACGGGGGAGUAACGCGUGAGAAUCUGGCUUUGGGUUCGGGACAACCACUGGAAACGGUGGCUAAUACCGGAUGUGCCGAGAGGUAAAAGAGAAAUUGCCUGAAGAUGAGCUCGCGUCUGAUUAGCUAGUUGGUGAGGUAAAGGCCCACCAAGGCAGCGAUCAGUAGCUGGUCUGAGAGGAUGACCAGCCACACUGGGACUGAGACACGGCCCAGACUCCUGCGGGAGGCAGGAGGGGGGAAUUGUCCGCAAUGGGCGAAAGCCUGACGGAGAAAUACCGCGUGAGAGAAGAAGGCUCUUGGGUUGUAACCCUCUUUUCUUAGGGAAGAACAAAAUGACGGUACCUAAGGAAUCAGCAUCGGCUAACUCCGUG